GAGCCAUUAGCUCAGUCGGUAGAGCAUCUGACUUUUAAUCAGAGGGUCGCAGGUUCGAGUCCUGCAUGGCUCA
rnacentral:tRNA from 1 species